UACAACUUUUCACCAUUGUAAAAAAUUAAUAACCUUGGUGAUUUGUGUAUUUACUCAUCAGAAUUCUGCUUGCCUUCUUAAAGAAGAUGAGCCCCUCAUGGCAAAUCGUUUUGAGAGGUGUUUGCAGUUGAGUUUUCACUUGACUGUGGUGUCUCUGGAGAUCUUAUUUCUUUCUUCCUGUCCUUAACUGAAAGACCCAAGGACCUAGAAGAAACAUGGAGGCUCUGUAUUCAUCUGGGGAUCUGCAGUCAGCUUCCAAGGCCAAAAAGCCUCCUACAAUAGACAUACCCAUGGAACCUCAACCUGUCAACCAUGCCCAAACUCAUGAGCCAGAAAAGGUCCCAAUUUCAGCUCCAUUACCACUCACUCCCAAUGCAAAGAAUUGCCUGUGCUCCCCCACCACCCAUGCUGGAUCAUUCAGAUGCCGCCUGCAUCGGUCCCUCCAAAAGCAAUGGAGUAUGGGCAGUAGUAGUAAUAAUGGCAGGCUGCCAUCAUCAUCCCCUCCGAGGGAAGCCCCUCCUGAUACAGUUGAUGGGGCAUCUCUUGGAACAAUUCCAAAUACAGUUGAAGCUCAAUGAAAAGUAGAUACAUGUAUAUAUAUAUAUAUACAUAUAUAUAUCUUAGAUAUCUGAGAUGUUCUUGGAUCCCCAAGAUAUAUGAGCAACCUUCCUUAUUCUCCUGUUUAUCAGUUGUUUAAUCAGGUGAUGCUUAUAUGCUUUUCUUCUCUCUACUGUUACUCUCAAUCAUGUAUCCUAACCCACAAGGGGUUUUAGAUUAGGAUAUGGAUUGUAAUUCAAACCCAAAAUUAGAUUAUGUAGCCAAGUUUGAUGCGUUAA